CCGGAUUAAUAGAUGAUUCUAUGAAAAUACUGCAGAGGAAGUUCUUCAUUUACCUUAGGGAAAAUUCCAUACUCUCCUUCUUAACUUGAUUAGUUUUAUUUGAUUGUGGUAAGAACACUUAACAUGAGAUCUACCCUCUUUAUUCAUAUUUUACCAAGGAUAAUGGGCUAGGGGUCUAAAUGGAAAAGAAAAAAAAAAAAGAAAUCCUAGAUUCUAGAACUUGCAAAAUCUCAGUUCAAAAAUUCACAUUUUUAGGUCCUUGAAAUUUCAACUGCGUGAUUUAAGUUUCUAGUUCUUGGCUGUAUCCCUUCAAGCACGUGACAACGGCAGUAGGGCUUCUGUCUGGGGAUGGAUAACUAAGAAGUGAUCCUUGGAUAUCUGUAUUUUCUGGCUCUUUUCAGAGUCUAAGUGGUGGGAGGGAGGCUGUCUGGUGGUAAUUACACCCACCAGACAGUGGUGAAUCCCUGGGAGGCAUCCUUUGCUGCUGCCUUUCCUAUUAUUGGGAAAAAUGGCACUGGCUUUAGACAUGGCCUCAUUAGGUUCCUCAUAGCCCUAAUGUUUUCUUUGAUUAUCCCAGGAAGGAAUGCUUUGAAAUUCUGUCCCAGGUCAUGGUUGAUGGUAGGGUAGUGAGUUUCAGAGUCUCAAUGUGUUUCCUUGCUUUGGAAGAGAAAGGCUUGGAAAGUAUACCUCUUCUCUAGCAUCAGAUGGUCCAAAGAAACAAAGCCAGACACCCUCCUUCCCACAGACUGGUGGAUAAAACCAAAUGUGUGCGCUGAGGAGAAAAAUGAAAAAUGCCUGUUAUUUUCUGCAUGCUGGAAAAUGAUGUAUGUUCCUGGGGGUAACCUGCUACCUCGGAAUUAGUCAUUCGACAUCGUGUUCUCUCUGCUGCUUGAAUUGCCUCAUUUUAAAAAUGUUAGAUUUUUUUCCCCUCUCACUUAACUGUAGGAACAUUAAAUGCACAACUUUAUCAAAAUGACACAAGAUAUAUGUUUCUGCCAACAGCAACAGGAGAGGAUUAACAAUUCAAAUGGGAAUGAGGAAAAGUUUCUCUCAGACGAUGGGAAGAAGAAAAGUUUGAUUGGGGAUCCUGAACUUUCCUCAGCCUGAAGCACACUGUUACACACUUGGCGUCUCUGAGUGAAAAAGUCUCAUGAGGUACGUUGGUUCUACCAGGGGGAAUUUCCCUGAACAAUCUCUCUCUCUUUGCCUGCCACCAUCUACGUAAGAUGUGACUUGCUCCUCCUUGCCUUCUGCCAUGAUUGUGAGGCCUCACCAGCCAUGUGCAACUGUAAGUCCAAUAAACAUCUUUCUUUUGUAAAUGGGCCAGUCUUGGGUAUGUCUUUCUCGGCAGCAUGAAAACGGAGUAAUUAAUGCAGGAGCCCUGGGAGAUGAGGGGAUGAGAGGGAAAAAGAUCUCUGUAGGGUUAGUUAUUACAAAUUAGAAAUAGAAUUCUAUAUCUAUAUAGAGGGUAAAUGGUCCAUUGUACCAUUUUGCUGAUAAAAGGAGGUAUUUAUGUUAGAUUCAGUUGGAAUUUUUGAGAAAGUGAAGAUUCUGGAUGGAGUGACAGAAUUUCCUUGUUCUUAAGAAGAAGAGCAUAUAAUUUUGCAUGAGCUCUGGUAUUGUUUUAGCAGGAUAUAGAAAUGAACCUUUGAACUUCUCAGAAUCCUUUUCUGAUAUGUGAUUUAUAUAUAUUAAUUUAUUUUCUAUGACUCUUUUCUGUGUACCACCUUCUUAACCAGGAGUGGCUUUGAUGCUGGAUUUCCAACCCCCAUGUAAUCAACUCCAUCUCAUUUUCUAUCACCACAUUGAGGAAACUCAUAGUGAGGGCUCCACAGACUAUCCUCUAGAUAACGAGUAAGAAGAAAACUCCUCCCAGAGGAAGAGUACAGAAAUGAUAAACUUGACCCAGUAAGAAUAUAUGGGAGAUUUGAGAGGAGGAGUAAUUCUGGGUACAGUCUGGUGUUGGCCACUUGGGUUAGCCCUCCACUUCUCCAAUCUCAGGACAUGUGAAUCUCUCACUUGCUCAGUGGAUCCCAGGCACAUCUCCAGAAUAUAUCAAGUUUUUUCUUCACUCAAAGAUUCCAUAAUUACUGCUCCUUUUCCCUGAAACCUUUUUCUAUAUGAUCCUCUCAAGACUAAUUCUUGAAGUUUAGGGUGGAGCUAAAAUGUCCCCUCUUGAGGAAAGACUUCCUUCCUUCCUUCUAAAAAGCCACACUCCUCUCACGCAUUCUUCUCCCUAUCACAUUCACAUGUUUUGUUUUCUUCUUGGUUUCGUCAUUCUCUGAAAUGUCCUCGUUUACUCUUUUACUUGCUUACUAUUUGUCUCUCCCACUUGGAUGCAAGCUCCACGUGAACAGGAACAUUGUUUGUUGCUAUGUCCUCACCACCUAGAAAAGGGCCAAGUGCAUAGUAGAAACAGAGUAAGUAUAUGUUGAAUUAAUAAAUAAACUAAGAGUCCUGUGGAUCACAACUCCAAAAUGGCCCCUGUCUUAUCCUCUCAUGCUUCCCCUGAAGGCAGAGACUGGGGGAAAACUGGUAUGCAGAGGGUUUAGGGAUGUGAUCAUAGAAGGCAGGCAUGAGAGACAGGAGUGAAAACAGGGGAGGUAGGGGAGGCCUUCAGAAAGGUAUGUUACUGAUUUGGCCACUGCUACAAUCAACUGGUAAUUGACUCUGAAAAAGUUUCUGAGGAGCUGGAUAAAAUAAAACUCAGAAACGUUCAUCUAAAAGAGGCGAGGGGGAAAUAAUGAUACGUGGGCAAUUGUGCCCCAUUCUUUGGCCAACAGUUGCCCCAGGGGACAUGAAAUCUUCUGUAUUUUGCAUGGCAUGUGAGUGAGUGCCCAGUUGUUCCCUGAGGGAUCCCAGGGAGUAGAAGAUGGGCAGUACAGACUGAGUUGAAGUACUGCCAGGUGACACUGUUUGAAGCUGGUUGAAGCUUGCCUGAUUCUGGUCCCUGCCAUGGCUAGAGAAAAGAUGAGGCCAUGGGGAUUUAAGUAAUGCACAAGAGGUAUGCAAAGUUCAUUUCAAACUCUAGCCCCUUUGAGAAGUAAUUGACCCAUUAAAUUAUUUCACCAGCCAUCGCCUCACACCAUUGCAUUCUUGCUCAUCUGAAGGGAUCAGGCAUGAUGUAUCCUUCAGUUUCAUUCCCUAAUAUAUUCCCGCCACAACUACAUUUGGUGGUUCUCAGACAUCCUUGCUGCUUUGGCUCCCAUAGGGCAUGGAAACUCAGUUUUCGCUUCUCUGACCAUUUUAACCAAUGGCAGGCACAAUUCAUAACUUUGGACCUACUAUUUCUUGGCAUCUGGCACCAGAAUCCAGGCUCAUGAUUUCCUAAAGGCUUUCACAAAAGUGCAGGUGGGUGUCUUCUUGUCUCUCUCUUUUCCUAUCUUCUCUCCCAGGGUCCCUGCAGAGCUUUGUAGAUGACUAGUUAGCUCUCAGAGCAGAAUGAUGCAUUUUGCAGAGGAGUUUGCAGAAGCAUUGUCAAAACAGGUGUUUAUUCUACAAUCUGGAAGAAAAUUGCAAGAUGCAAGAUGCAAUGUAUUUUGACCCUGCAGUUUGUUGAGUAAAGUUUUUUUUUAUUUCCCCCUACCUAGACACAUGAUAAAUGAGAUAACUUAUUUCUUCUGGUCCCUCAGUGGACAAUAUGAUAACCAUUCCUUGACAGCAAGCAACAUGCUAUUUCUUUUGGCGUGUGUUUUGUCAAAAUAUGUUACCCUGGGAGAUUCUCCUGAGUCUCAGAUUUUUAUUUUCAGAGUACUUUUUACUGAUAUCCCUAAUUCUACCUGAAAUGUCUGAAGUCAUCUGGGGGCCUUCGGAACAUGUAGAGGGAAAUGGAUGCUUUAUAGAUCUUAGAAUUCUUGUGGACCUGAGAUCUAAUAACAUCCCCUGUUCUCCACUCAAUAACUUCCAUUAUAGUCUCACAUUCAGGAUAGGGGUCUGACUCAUUUGUCUGGAGGGUGCUCUGGGCUUAGUGGUAGGUAUUAAGAAUAGCAGUAGACUAUCAUUGCAGUUGCUCCCCAGUGCCCUUAGUAUAAUAUCUAGACAUUUUUCUGUGUAUAAGUUCUUUCAUUUCUAACCUGUAUUUACUUAUGUAGCCUUAAUUUUUCUUAUUACUCACUUUGCACUCUGACCUUUAGCUGGACCAUGUGGUUUUUUUCAAAUUCCCUGUCUUCUGUCUCCUGAGAAUUUUCUUCUGCUUCUCUUCACCUUAGUAAUUAGUCUUCAUCCUCCACCCGUGUUAUUGAGUCUCCAAUCUGAAUUUUCCUAUUGUGUCUUGCUUCCAUAGCAUUUAUUCUUUCUGUGUUUCAAGACAGAAUCUCAGGGAACUUUACCUUAAGGGGGAUAUUUUAGUUAUCUGCUCAGAAAUUAGGGUGAAGUAUAAAAGAAGUCCCUAGCUUUUUAUCUAUUAAGGUUUAAGUAAUGGAAGUCUCAUAUUUAGUCUAGUUCAAGGCUUGGCAAACUUUUAUUUACUGCAAAGAACCAGAGAGUAAAUAUUUUAGGCUUUAUAGGACAAAUACUAUCUCUGUCUCUCUGUCACUUUUUUUUUUUUUUUUUUACAAUCUGUGAAAAAUGUAAAUGUCAUUCUUACAUUUUAGGCUUUGGGACACCUUUGGUUCACAGGCAAAUUACAGCCUGAAAGCUAAGAGUUCAUCCCCUAACUGUUAGGACUCUAGUUACUAGUACUGUAGAUAAUAAAACAUCAAAAUAUUGCCAAGGAUCCCAUGAGAUUAUGAAGAACAAAUAGGUCUGCUGAACAAUGAACCUGCAUUUUCAGGCUCAAUUAUCUUCACAUCUAAUAAUGUCCCAGUAGCUUAUUAGAGGAUGUUGGUUGUUAUUACAAUGGUGAGGAAAAUUUGAUGAAAGUGUGCUUAAUUAUAUAUAAAGCUUCGUAAACAUUUGUUCCUUUGAACUAGUAUUAAGCGGUCUUGUAAAUCUGCCCGUAAUGUUGGUGGACAUCACGUGGUUGAUAUACUUAACCAAGUUUCUGUUUUCCAGAAUCAUUUCUGCUUUUGUUUCUUAUUCUGGCUCCCAAGAAGACACAACAAUUCAGGCAAGUGAAGAAGAGGUAGUACUUUGAAGCCCAGAAGGUAGUAAGGGAGAUAUAUGACUGUGGCAAAGAUUGAUAAGCUAGUCAUUGAAUGUCAGCACCAGAAGGUAACUUAGUGACUAUCUGGUUGGAGGAAAUAAAGCUCAGAUUUUAACAUGAGUGGCUGGCUGAGCUGGAACUGGGGUCCAGGCUCCAUGACUCCAAGCCAUGGGUUCUUUACACCUCAUUGCAUUGCCUCUCCUGUCUUUUUUGUUUUUUUUGUGGUUUUCCAAUAAAAUGUAUGAAAUUUAUUAUCAGAAAAAUAACAACAAAUGUGGAGAAAAUUAUGUUGCAUAACAUCAGAUUAUUAUUACUUCCAAACGUGUUCGUCCUUUAUAGCAUCUUUUACUCAAUACCACGCAACAAGGUUGUUAGAAAGCAAAUGGAGUGGCUGGACUUUGUAAUAAAUUAAAAGUCUGGUUGAUUCCUUUGCACUACUCCCGGCUUGUUCUCAGGUGAGUUACUUGGUUUCACUGUUUUUCCGGCUACCCUUCUGAAGAGGACUUGGAGGUAAUUGACACAUCCCUGAGGAAAAUUAAGUUGGGAUAGAGCCGAAAUUCCUUUCAACAACCACUAUUCUCGGUAGCACCAGUUGGUGGACAGUUCCCAGUCUUUUUAGUGUCAAACUCCUGGAGCAUUGAAUUUCCUGCAGGCAAUUCCUGUCGUUUUCAUGGAUGCCUUUUUGGAGUUCCGAAGUCAGUUGGCAGUCAGGGUGGUGGGCAGGAAAAGGGGAAGUGAAAUCAGCAAUGUCCAGUUCUAGGCGAGUUCUGUUUCUAGCUAUAAAUUAUAGAUGACACCAGUAUUUAUCUCGUGGAGGGGUUGUAAAGAUUGAAUGAGAUAAUGCACUAAAAGCACUUGGCAUAUAGUAAGUGUACAAUAAAUAUUUACUAUUAGCAGCAUAGUAGUACAUUGCAGCCAUCUCUUAAUCUAAGGGUUUAAGGGGAAUAACAUGGCAAUUUCAGGUAGGAGAAAAAAUUAAGAUGAGAAAACCCAAAAUACGUAAUAACCAUGAUGAUGAUGGCAAAGACAGAGAGGCCCUAAGAGAUUAAGUGUUCUCUACAUCUUGAUAUUUGAGGACGUUGUAAAUCUCAGAGGAGUUAGAUACCUUUCCCAAAUUCACAACUGAUAAACGACAGAGCCAGAAUCAAAAUGGACUCUUCUAACACUUACAUUUGCUCUCCUAACCACCACACUUUUCUGCCACUCCUCCAUAAAAUGGAAAUAAUCUUUGUUCUUAAUCCACAGAGUUAUUUACAGGUUCAAAUGGGAUUAACACAAGUUCCAGAGUCAGAUGAUCAAGGCUCCAUUCCUAGUGCCAGUAUUUACUAUAGUUAUAAUUUGGAACAUAUAUUUAUUUUACUUUAUUUUAUUAUUGUUAUACUUUAAGUUUUAGGGUACAUGUGCAUAACAUGCAGGUUUGUUACAUAUGUAUACAUGUGCCAUGUUGGUGUGCUGCACCCAUUAACUUGUCAUUUAGCAUUAGGUAUAUCACCUAAUGCUAUCCCUCCC
rnacentral:lncRNA from 1 species